GGAAACUUCUGGGAAUUCGACGGCCUCCGGAGCCGUGUGCGCAGGUUCGAAUCCUGCCGGGG
rnacentral:tRNA from 1 species